UACGUAGGGGGCAGGCGUUGUCCGGAUUUAUUGGGCGUAAAGAGCGUGUAGGCGGCUUUACAGGUCCGUUGUGAAAACUCGAGGCUCAACCUCGAGACGCCGGUGGAAACCGUAAGGCUAGAGUCCGGAAGAGGAGAGUGGAAUUCCUGGUGUAGCGGUGAAAUGCGCAGAUAUCAGGAGGAACACCCGUGGCGAAAGCGGCUCUCUGGGACGGUACUGACGCUGAGACGCGAAAGCGUGGGGAGCAAACAGG
rnacentral:rRNA from 1 species